UACGUAGGGUGCGAGCGUUAAUCGGAAUUACUGGGCGUAAAGCGUGCGUAGGCGGUUCGCUGUGUCCGAUGUGAAAGCCCCGGGCUUAACCCGGGAAUGGCAUUGAAUACUGCAGAUCUGGAGGAUUGGAGGGGGGACUGGAAUUCUUGGUGUAGCAGUGAAAUGCGUAGAUAUCAAGAGGAACACCAGUGGCGAAGGCGAGUCCCUGGACAAUACCUGACACUGAGGCACGAAAGCCAAGGGAGCAAACAGG
rnacentral:rRNA from 1 species